GAAAAGCUGUUACAAUUCACUGCUUCUGAGUACCUCAAUGGAGAGUAUGAAUGUAUGGCCAGACGCAGAGAUGACUUUUAUUCUUCAACCACAUGGAGUGAAGCCUUCACAGUGUCAGUGUUACGACUGAAGCUCGUCCUCUCUGUGUCUCCAUCAUGGUUGAUUCCUGGAGCUUCAGUCACUCUGAUCUGUCACACUGAGCCUCCGUCAGCAGGGUGGAGCUUCUACUGGUUCAAAGCUGUUCCAAACUCUCAGGAUUCCUACACCUAUGAGCCUCUACCUGGUACCAGCAGUGGGACAGCAAACAAUUCCUUCACAGUUCAUGGACAGACACACACAGCAGGAUAUGCAUGUUCAGCUGGACGAGGGGAUCCGCUGAUUUACACACAACACAGUCGUCCCACAUUUGUCUGGUCUUCAGGUGUUCAUCCAUCAGCGUCUCUCACAGUGAAUCCUGACAGAGUCCAACACUUCACCUCUGAAUCUCUCUCACUGACAUGUGAAGGAAGCUCUUCCCAGUGGAGGCUGAUCCAGUUUCUGACUGACGACUCGCUGUUGAGCUU